GACGAACGCUGGCGGCGUGCCUAAUACAUGCAAGUCGAACGCAAAAGCCCGGUUCUUGUGGCGUGUGCGUGAGCCGAACACGUGUGAAUCACGCGUGUAAACUCUCCCUGACAGCGGGAUAACUCAUGGAAACACGGAUGAUAAUACGACAUGAGAACUUGAUACACGGGGGGUGAGGGAGAAAGUCGGAGGUUUGGGACGGACGCGCGGUCUAUCAGCUUGUUGGUGAGGUAGUGGCGUACCAAGGCUCCGAGGGGUAGCCGGCUUGGGAGGGUGACCGGCCCCAUUGGGACUGAGAUACGGCCCAGACGGCUACGGGAGGAAGCAGUGGAAAUUAUUGCGCAAUGGGCGGAAGCCGGAUGCAGCGUCGCCGGGUGCGGAAUCACGGCCUGCGGGGUAUAAACCGCUUUCGCCUGUGACGAAGAGUGAGUGACGGUAAUGAGUAAGAAAGCAACGGCUAACUACGUG
rnacentral:rRNA from 1 species